rnacentral:rRNA from 1 species
UACGUAGGGGACGAGCGUUGUCCGGAAUUAUUGGGCGUAAAGAGCGUGUAGGCGGCCCUGCAAGUCCUGCGUGAAAUCUCGAGGCUCAACCUCGAGCGGUCGUGGGAAACUGCAGGGCUAGAGUGCGGGAGAGGGAAGUGGAAUUCCAGGUGUAGCGGUGAAAUGCGUAGAUAUCGAGAGGAACACCUGCGGCGAAGGCGGGUAGCUGGGCCGACACUGACGCUGAUGCGCGAAAGCCAGGGGAGCGAACGGG